rnacentral:rRNA from 1 species
UACGAAGGGGGCUAGCGUUGUUCGGAAUUACUGGGCGUAAAGCGCGCGCAGGCGGUCUUCCAAGUCAGGGGUGAAAGCCUGGAGCUCAACUCCAGAACUGCCAUUGAAACUGUUAGACUUGAGUACGAGAGAGGUGAGUGGAAUUCCCAGUGUAGAGGUGAAAUUCGUAGAUAUUCGGAAGAACACCAGUGGCGAAGGCGACUCGCUGGACAAGUAUUGACGCUGAGGUGCGAAAGCGUGGGGAGCAAACAGG